ACCGGCCUGCGCCCCACCCAGGAUCUCCGCGGCCCCCUCCCCAACCUGGGGAAGGGCCCCCCCCCCCCACUCCCUACGGACACACACACACCCUCAGGCGCCAGCUUCCCGGACCCCGUCGAAGCCAGACCUCUGAAGCCGAACGGUGAGGAAAGUUUCGUCUUCACCGAUCUUCUCUCUUGUGGGGAUUGCACGUUUGCGUACGAUCUGGGAAGAACCUAGCUCAAAUCGAAGGGGAAAACAAGGACUGGCUGUAAAUCGAGUAGAGUGAUUGUGACCCUUAAAAGAAAAAAAAAAGGCCAAAUGAAGCCGGUAAUCAGGCUGCGGAAAGACGACGUUUAAUCCUCCUACACUCAGAAUAAACUUUCAUACGUACACUGUGGACAAGAAAAAUGGGAGACCUCAUUGAUUCUUCUGUCGGGGUAAUCCAGGUUUUGGAAGUAUUGGGAAAGCUCCUGGCUGUGGUAAAACCCAAUAUAACUAAUUAAUCCUCUCUUAAAAAAAAAAAAAAAAAGGUUGAUUUAUUCAUUAGAGACACAGAGAGAGGCAGAGGGAGAAGCAGGCUCCAUGCGGGGAGCCCCGUGCGGGACUCGAUCCCCGAACUGGGAUCAUGCCUUGAGCCGAAGCCGGACGUCCAAACGCUGAGCCACCCAGGCGUCCCUAAUUAAUCGUCUUUUUAGAAAAAUGACCCAUAUCAUUAUGGCAGUUAAAUAUUCAGAGAAAUAUAGUUGGGCAUUCAGAAAAAAAAAUUAGUAAAAAUCUUGGCUGGACUUUCUUAUCUUGAAUAUGUCUACUUAAAAGCAGUAAAGCUGAAUCUGUUCUCUAUCCCAUGGCAGUGAAUGUACUUGCAAUUGCUGGCUCUGAUUUUAUUGGUCAUGAUAGGCUCGUAGUCACCAAUAUUUGGCUGUUGUCCACCUCACUGGAGGCAGAGGAAAUGAGCUUUGGUAGCUUAAAAGAAAGAGCAGGGCUGUUGGGUUUCCUGUUCACCUGAGACAGCAUUAAAUUGAUUCACUCUAGGCAGUUCAGCAAAACCUGUAGGAAAUCACUUGAGAUUCAAAUGUCAGUAAUAAGUUGUUUAAUAAGCCUAAAACAUUUCAACUCUUGCCAUGGACAUGCAUAUGUGUGGGAGUAUGCACACACAAAAAAAUUCAAAUGGAAUCUGAAUACAUCCAGUAAUUAAUAGUUCUUUUAAUGGGGUGCCUGGCUGUCUCAGUCAGUAGAGCAUGCAAGUUCCAGCCCCAAAUUAGGUGUAGAGAUUACUUAAAAAAAAAAAAAAAAAAAAA